AAAAAAAAAUUAAAACAUACCAUCAAUAGAGUCUGUGUAAAGAACUUUCACAUUCGUCAUGUUUCCUGAUCUGCUUCUUUACACCAUGGCUUGGAUGCAAACCUGUACUUACACAAGCGGAUGCAAACCUGUAGUCACGCAACUUGUGCUAAAAUAUGCCUGUGAUGAAGCAAUAAUGAGAAAUGGGAUGCGAUAAAAUUUGCUAGCUGAACCCGUAGGCGUGACCUUCCACAGCUUCACAGUCUUGGCGUGACAACCUGAACAACUUGAACUUUACAGUCUCUCUGCUCCAUAGAGUUGGCUUCUGGGCUAUUUCUAGCUUCAAUGUUAUUAAAAGAGUGCUUGUGCACCGCUGAAAAGGAACUCCUUGAGAAUGAAUUAACUUGUGUUGAAUCAUUCUUUCCACCAUUUGAAAUUGAUUAUAGAUUGUAUAUGAAUUUUGUAUAGCUAUUGUAUUAUGAGUGACUUGUAACAUUUUGUAAAUAUUUUGAUACACUUUUGCACUUUAUAAAAUUGUUAAAAAUUUGUUACAAAAAACUAUUUUGUUGACUGUAGGGCUUUUUGCCUGUUUUGUUUCCCCUGGGAAUAGUUUGUUGGUUUUUCAGUCUUCCAGUUAUGGACAGGCUGAACUGAAGAUACAUGUGUAAGCAGUCAGGGAACUACUUCAUUCUAUUGGAAUCACUAUGACAACUGACCUGGGCUGUUUCCACACGCUGUUAAAGAGACGGCCCACUCAGUGAACUCUGA